rnacentral:rRNA from 1 species
AACGAACGUUAGCGGCGCGCUUAACACAUGCAAGUCGAGCGAGAAAGGGGUAACCCCGGUAAAGCGGCGCACGGGUGAGUAACACGUAGGUAAUCUACCCUCGGGUGGAGGAUAACCUUCCGAAAGGAGGGCUAAUACUGCAUGAGACCACGACCUCGAAAGGGGAUGAGGUCAAAGCCGGCCACUGUACACAAGCUGGCGCCUGAGGAUGAGCCUGCGGCCCAUCAGCUAGUUGGUAGGGUAACGGCCUACCAAGGCGAAGACGGGUAG